rnacentral:rRNA from 2 species
GGGUUGUGAGGUUAAGCGAAUAAGCGUACACGGUGGAUGCCUAGGCAAUCAGAGGCGAUGAAGGACGUGCUAAUCUGCGAUAAGCGUCGGUAAGGUGAUAUGAACCGUUAUACCCGACGAUUUCCGAAUGGGGAAACCCAAUAUCCAAUGGAUAUUAUCAUGACGUGAAUACAUAGCGUCAUGAAGCGAACCGGGAGAACUGAAACAUCUCAGUACCCCGAGGAAAAGAAAUCAACCGAGAUUCCCCUAGUAGCGGCGAGCGAACGGGGAACAGCCCAGAGUCUUAAUCAAUAGCAGCAUCAGGAGAACGGUCUGGAAAGUCCGGCAGUAAAGGGUGAUAGCCCCGUAUCCGAAGAUGCUGUUAUUGUGAACUCGACGAGUAGGGCGGGACACGUGUUAUCCUGUCUGAAUAUGGGGGGACCAUCCUCCAAGGCUAAAUACUCCUGAUUGACCGAUAGUGAACCAGUACCGUGAGGGAAAGGCGAAAAGAACCCCGGCGAGGGGAGUGAAAAAGAACCUGAAACCGUGUACGUACAAGCAGUAGGAGCCUCUUUAUGGGGUGACUGCGUACCUUUUGUAUAAUGGGUCAGCGACUUAUAUUCUGUAGCAAGGUUAACCGUAUAGGGGAGCCGUAGGGAAACCGAGUCUUAACUGGGCGAAUGAGUUGCAGGGUAUAGACCCGAAACCCGGUGAUCUAUCCAUGGGCAGGUUGAAGGUUGGGUAACACUAACUGGAGGACCGAACCGACUAAUGUUGAAAAAUUAGCGGAUGACUUGUGGAUGGGGGUGAAAGGCCAAUCAAACCGGGAGAUAGCUGGUUCUCCCCGAAAGCUAUUUAGGUAGCGCCUCGUGAACUCAUCUUCGGGGGUAGAGCACUGUUUCGACUAGGGGGUCAUCCCGACUUACCAACUCGAUGCAAACUGCGAAUACCGAAGAAUGUUAUCACGGGAGACACACGGCGGGUGCUAACGUCCGUCGUGAAGAGGGAAACAACCCAGACCGCCAGCUAAGGUCCCAAAGUCAUGGUUAAGUGGGAAACGAAGUGGGAAGGCUCAGACAGCCAGGAUGUUGGCUUAGAAGCAGCCAUCAUUUAAAGAAAGCGUAAUAGCUCACUGGUCGAGUCGGCCCGCGCGGAAGAUGUAACGGGGCUAAACCAUGCACCGAAGCUGCGGCAGCGACACUAUGUGUUGUUGGGUAGGGGAGCGUUCUGUAAGCCUGCGAAGGUGUACUGUGAGGUAUGCUGGAGGUAUCAGAAGUGCGAAUGCUGACAUAAGUAACGAUAAUGCGGGUGAAAAACCCGCACGCCGGAAGACCAAGGGUUCCUGUCCAACGUUAAUCGGGGCAGGGUGAGUCGACCCCUAAGGCGAGGCUGAAAAGCGUAGUCGAUGGGAAACGGGUUAAUAUUCCCGUACUGGUGGUAACUGCGAUGGGGGAACGGAGAAGGCUAGGUUGUCCGGGCGACGGUCGUCCCGGUUCAAGCAUGUAGGCAGAGUGAUUAGGCAAAUCCGGUCACUUAAUGCUGAGGUGUGAUGACGAGCCACUAAGGUGGUGAAGCAAUUGAUGCCCUGCUUCCAGGAAAAGCCUCUAAGCUUCAGGUUACCAACAAUCGUACCCCAAACCGACACAGGUGGUCAGGUAGAGAAUACUCAGGCGCUUGAGAGAACUCGGGUGAAGGAACUAGGCAAAAUGGUGCCGUAACUUCGGGAGAAGGCACGCUGGCGGUAAGUGAAGUCCCUUGCGGACGGAGCCGAAGCCAGUCGAAGAUACCAGCUGGCUGCAACUGUUUAUUAAAAACACAGCACUGUGCAAACACGAAAGUGGACGUAUACGGUGUGACGCCUGCCCGGUGCUGGAAGGUUAAUUGAUGGGGUUAUCCGUAAGGAGAAGCUCUUGAUCGAAGCCCCAGUAAACGGCGGCCGUAACUAUAACGGUCCUAAGGUAGCGAAAUUCCUUGUCGGGUAAGUUCCGACCUGCACGAAUGGCGUAAUGAUGGCCAGGCUGUCUCCACCCGAGACUCAGUGAAAUUGAACUCGCUGUGAAGAUGCAGUGUACCCGCGGCAAGACGGAAAGACCCCGUGAACCUUUACUAUAGCUUGACACUGAACAUUGAGCCUUGAUGUGUAGGAUAGGUGGGAGACUAUGAAGUGUGGACGCCAGUCUGCAUGGAGUCAACCUUGAAAUACCACCCUUUAACGUUUGAUGUUCUAACCUAGGUCCAUAAUCUGGAUCGGGGACCGUGUCUGGUGGGUAGUUUGACUGGGGCGGUCUCCUCCUAAAGAGUAACGGAGGAGCACGAAGGUUGGCUAAGCAUGGUCGGACAUCAUGCGGUUAGUGCAAAGGCAUAAGCCAGCUUGACUGUGAGAGUGACGGCUCGAGCAGGUACGAAAGUAGGUCUUAGUGAUCCGGUGGUUCUGAAUGGAAGGGCCAUCGCUCAACGGAUAAAAGGUACUCCGGGGAUAACAGGCUGAUACCGCCCAAGAGUUCAUAUCGACGGCGGUGUUUGGCACCUCGAUGUCGGCUCAUCACAUCCUGGGGCUGAAGUAGGUCCCAAGGGUAUGGCUGUUCGCCAUUUAAAGUGGUACGCGAGCUGGGUUUAGAACGUCGUGAGACAGUUCGGUCCCUAUCUGCCGUGGGCGUUGGAAGAUUGAGAGGGGUUGCUCCUAGUACGAGAGGACCGGAGUGAACGCACCACUGGUGUUCGGGUUGUCAUGCCAAUGGCAUUGCCCGGUAGCUAAGUGCGGAAGAGAUAACCGCUGAAAGCAUCUAAGCGGGAAACUUGCCUCGAGAUGAGUCUUCCCUGUCACCUUGAGUGACCUAAAGGAACGUUUAAGACUAAGACGUUGAUAGGCUGGGUGUGUAAGCGUAGCGAUACGUUGAGCUAACCAGUACUAAUGAACCGUGAGGCUUAACCUGACAACACCGAAGGUGUUU